rnacentral:rRNA from 1 species
CGUCUAGGUGGUUAUGUAAGUCUGAUGUGAAAAUGCAGGGCUCAACUCUGUAUUGCGUUGGAAACUGUAUAACUAGAGUACUGGAGAGGUAAGUGGAACUACAAGUGUAGAGGUGAAAUUCGUAGAUAUUUGUAGGAAUGCCGAUGGGGAAGCCAGCUUACUGGACAGAUACUGACGCUGAAGCGCGAAAGCGUGGGGAGCAAACA